rnacentral:rRNA from 1 species
UACGUAGGGGGCUAGCGUUGUCCGGAUUUAUUGGGCGUAAAGAGCGUGUAGGCGGCCAGGUAGGUCUGCUGUGAAAACUCGAGGCUCAACCUCGAGACGUCGGCGGAAACCAUCUGGCUAGAGUCCGGAAGAGGAGAGUGGAAUUCCUGGUGUAGCGGUGAAAUGCGCAGAUAUCAGGAGGAACACCGGUGGCGAAGGCGGGUCUCUGGGCCGAUACUGACGCUGAGGAGCGAAAGCGUGGUGAGCGAACAGG